GACGAACGCUGGCGGCGUGCUUAACACAUGCAAGUCGAACGGAAAGGCCCUGCUUUUGUGGGGUGCUCGAGUGGCGAACGGGUGAGUAACACGUGAGUAACCUGCCCUUGACUUUGGGAUAACUUCAGGAAACUGGGGCUAAUACCGGAUAGGAGCUCCUGCUGCAUGGUGGGGGUUGGAAAGUUUCGGCGGUUGGGGAUGGACUCGCGGCUUAUCAGCUUGUUGGUGGGGUAGUGGCUUACCAAGGCUUUGACGGGUAGCCGGCCUGAGAGGGUGACCGGCCAAAGUGGGACUGAGAUACGGCCCAGACGCCUACGGGAGGCAGCAGUGGGGAAUAUUGCACAAUGGGCGGAAGCCUGAUGCAGCAACGCCGCGUGCGGGAUGACGGCCUUCGGGUUGUAAACCGCUUUCGCCUGUGACGAAGCGUGAGUGACGGUAAUGGGUAAAGAAGCACCGGCUAACUACGUG
rnacentral:rRNA from 1 species